AGAGCAGAAAUUCCUAACCGGCGGCUAUAGAAUAGAAGCGGCGGCUUUUUUAAGGGAAAAGCCCAAGUCAGGGGGAGAGACCUGCUUUUAGAAGCAAGCAGAAGCUGCAGCGCUAUCUACUGUAGAUUAAUGAUACUUCUCUAAUACCAGCAAUUGCCCUCCAGGAAGAUAUCAUAUUACACCGGAGUCUCUUCACGCAGACACAAAACAAUUCCCUGUUGCUCACUCCGAUUAUGAAGAGAGAACUGAAGUGACAUCAAAUCACUCACUCCGAUUCCGAUCAUAUCAGAGCCCUAACCACUCCGAUCAGAUCAGCUUCUCUAUUUCUCCGAUCGAUUUCGCUAUGGCGAAGGAGAAACCGUUCAAGAGUAUAUUGAAAUCGCUUGAGAAGCCGGACGGCGGCGAGUUCGGAGUACUACAGCUUGCCAGCUCUCAAUGAUCCUAGGAUAAGCUACCGUACUCCAUUAAGAUCCUUCUUGAGUCUGCAAUCUUUAACUGCCAAGAGUUUCAGGUUAAGAGUACGUAUUUGAGAAAAGUUGUAAUUUGUUAUCAGCAUUUAGGACCCUCUUUGUCUUUGUGUUUGUCUUUGUGCCUGUGUUUGUGUUUAUCUGGCCUGCAGUCUUGAAUAUAUGACAUUGUGUUUGUGUUUGUGUUUGCUUCACUGGAAGGCAGCUUUAUUCCAAGUUUUUGGCCGUUAGGGUGCUUUUUCUGCAGUUCUCUAUUUGCAUCAAGUGCAGUUUUCUGAUUUUACGUUGUUUGCUUCUCUCUGCUGGGACUUUCUGGUUCUGAGGCCCUCCGUCCAUACGCUGUUUGGUAAUAGUUUCGUAUGGUAAUUGGUUUUGAAAGUUCUUGAUCAGGUCUUACAAGUCCCGGUUUAAGUUAUUGAAUGAUGGCACUAUUCGAUGCUGGAGGGAGGGCAAGCGGCACAAUGCAUAUCUGAAGAGAUGGCCCAGGAGCUCGAAAGCGAAAUUCGAGUGUGUGUUUAGUGAAGUUGGUGUUGUUAAAGAAGAUGGGUUUUCGAUGCCUGUGAACCCCAGCAGCCAAGAAACCUUGGGUCAUUGUUUCAUAGAGUUUAAUUCUCCUCAGUCCUCAAGGUAUCCAGGGUCUCCUUCCUUGCUUAGUCCCGUAAUAAAGGAAGACGAAGAACCCGUUCAUAGUGAUGAAACUAGUGCAGAUGACCAUGACGACAUAAUGCAGUGGAGUGAGCAAGAAAUGGAUGAUGAUGUAGAAGAAGAAUAUCAUGGUCAUGGUGCACAAGAAAUGGAAACAAUAAGAAAUAACAUUACUCAAAAUUUGAUGAAUGCGCAUAAUAACGUGAACAUUUGAAUAUGUUAUGAUAUUUUUUGUGGUUACUUGAUGCGAACCAGAAACCAAUUGU